UACGAAGGGGACUAGCGUUGUUCGGAAUUACUGGGCGUAAAGCGCGUGUAGGCGGCUAAGUAAGUCGGGCGUGAAAUCCCACGGCUCAACCGUGGAAGUGCACUCGAAACUGCAUAGCUAGAGUCCUGGAGAGGAAGGUGGAAUGCUUGGUGUAGAGGUGAAAUUCGUAGAUAUCAAGCGGAACACCGGUGGCGAAGGCGGCCUUCUGGACAGUGACUGACGCUGAGACGCGAAAGCGUGGGGAGCAAACAGG
rnacentral:rRNA from 1 species